rnacentral:rRNA from 1 species
UGGGGAAUAUUGCACAAUGGGCGCAAGCCUGAUGCAGCGACGCCGCGUGAGGGAUGACGGCCUUCGGGUUGUAAACCUCUUUCAGCAGGGACGAAGCGCGAGUGACGGUACCUGCAGAAGAAGCACCGGCCAACUACGUGCCAGCAGCCGCGGUAAUACGUAGGGUGCGAGCGUUGUCCGGAAUUACUGGGCGUAAAGAGCUCGUAGGCGGUUUGUCGCGUCGUCUGUGAAAUUCUGCAGCUUAACUGCAGGCGUGCAGGCGAUACGGGCAGACUUGAGUACUACAGGGGAGACUGGAAUUCCUGGUGUAGCGGUGAAAUGCGCAGAUAUCAGGAGGAACACCGGUGGCGAAGGCGGGUCUCUGGGUAGUAACUGACGCUGAGGAGCGAAAAGCGUGGGUAGCGAACAGGAUUANGAUACCCUGGUAGUCCACGCCGUAAAACGGUGGGUACUAGGUGUGGGUUCCAUUUCACGGGAUCCGUGCCGUAGCUAACGCAUUAAGUACCCCGCCUGGGGAGUACGGCCGCAAGGCUAAAACUCAAAUGAAUUGACGGGGUCAUAGCUG